CACGUAGGGGGCAAGCGUUGUCCGGAUUUAUUGGGCGUAAAGAGCUCGUAGGUGGUUCGGUAAGUCGGGUGUUAAACCCCCAGGCUCAACCUGGGGACGCCACUCGAUACUGCUGUGACUAGAGUCCGGUAGGGGAGCGUGGAAUUCCUGGUGUAGCGGUGAAAUGCGCAGAUAUCAGGAGGAACACCGGUGGCGAAGGCAGCACUCUGGGGCGGUACUGACGCUGAGACGCGAAAGCGUGGGGAGCAAACAGG
rnacentral:rRNA from 1 species